UACAGAGGUCUCAAGCGUUGAUCGGAUUCAUUGGGCGUAAAGGGUGCGUAGGCGGCGCGGUAAGUCGGGUGUGAAAUCUCGGAGCUUAACUCCGAAACUGCAUUCGAGACUACCGUGCUUGAGUACUGGAGAGGAGACUGGAAUUUACGGUGUAGCAGUGAAAUGCGUAGAUAUCGUAAGGAAGACCAGUGGCGAAGGCGGGUCUCUGGACAGUUCCUGACGCUGAGGCACGAAGGUCAGGGGAGCAAACGGG
rnacentral:rRNA from 1 species